UUUGUUCCCUAAAUAGGGACUUGUAUGAACGGCCCACGAGGGCUUUACUGUCUCUUACUUCCAAUCCGUGAAAUUGACCUUCCCGUGAAGAGGCGGGAAUAUAAUAAUAAGACGAGAAGACCCUAUGGAGCUUUAAUUAACCGACCCAAAGAGACCAUAUGAACCAACCGACAGGAACAACAAACCUCUAUAUGGGCCGGCAAUUUAGGUUGGGGUGACCUCGGAGAACAAAACAACCUCCGAGUGAUUUAAAUCUAGACUAACCAGUCGAAAGUACUACAUCACUUAUUGAUCCAAAAACCUUGAUCAACGGAACAAGUUACCCU
rnacentral:rRNA from 1 species